rnacentral:rRNA from 1 species
UACGUAGGGUGCAAGCGUUGUCCGGAAUUAUUGGGCGUAAAGAGCCCGUAGGCGGCUUGUCGCGUCGGCUGUGAAAACCUGGGGCUCAACCCCGGGCCUGCAGCCGAUACGGGCAAGCUAGAAUUCGGUAGGGGAGACUGGAAUUCCCGGUGUAGCAGUGAAAUGCGUAGAUAUCGGGAGGAAUACCGAUGGCGAAGGCAGGUCUCUGGGCUAUAACUGACGCUCAUGCACGAAAGCGUGGGGAGCAAACAGG